GUUGCUUCCUAUGACAGGCGGCGACGUCAGGCUCUCUCUCUCUCGCCGAAGAAUUCAAACAAUUACGACGUACCCUUCGCGCCUCUGGCGCGA
rnacentral:sRNA from 1 species